UCUGAAGAUAUGGCAAACAGUGCUGGAAGAUCUGACGAUCUUAAGAUGUUCAAAAAAAAGGUUCAUCGUCUGAAGUUUUCGGUGGUGCAUUUUCUUGAGGAAAAUGAGGUGGAUGUGGCACCAUCAUUAUGGUUGGCGAAGAGCAAUGGGGUUCUGAAUUGCUAUUGGCCGGCAAAUAAUGCCAGCGUUCUGGCAAGACGCUGUGCUCUGCCCGACAAGGUACUUUGGAAAAAGUACAAAGUUCGCGUUUUCUCUACAACAGACAGCUACAGCCUGGCCAGGGAGAGGGCAAGAAAGGGGCAAGACACCUCUCAGGUGGAAACG